rnacentral:rRNA from 1 species
AUUGAACGCUGGCGGCAGGCCUAACACAUGCAAGUCGAACGGUAACAGGAAGAAGCUUGCUUCUUUGCUGACGAGUGGCGGACGGGUGAGUAAUGUCUGGGAAACUGCCUGAUGGAGGGGGAUAACUACUGGAAACGGUAGCUAAUACCGCAUAACGUCGCAAGACCAAAGAGGGGGACCUUCGGGCCUCUUGCCAUCGGAUGUGCCCAGAUGGGAUUAGCUAGUAGGUGGGGUAACGGCUCACCUAGGCGACGAUCCCUAGCUGGUCCGAGAGGAUGACCAGCCACACUGGAACUGAGACACGGUCCGGACUCCUACGGGAGGCAGCAGUGGGGAAUAUUGCACAAUGGGCGCAAGCCUGAUGCAGCCAUGCCGCGUGUAUGAAGAAGGCCUUCGGGUUGUAAAGUACUUUCAGCGGGGAGGAAGGGAGUAAAGUUAAUACCUUUGCUCAUUGACGUUACCCGCAGAAGAAGCACCGGCUAACUCCGUG